rnacentral:piRNA from 1 species
UGAUAUGCCAUAAAACUGUAGACGUGAUA